AUGGUCCUGAGCAAGGAUGAAACACAAAUUCAUGAAGCAUUCCAUAUUUUUCUCAAUGUAUUUGAAAUUAUUAAUGAACCAACUGCUGUUGCUAUUGUUUAUGGCUUAGAUAAGAAUAUUGGAGCUGAAAGGAAUGUGCUGAUUUUUGACUUGGGAGGUGUCACUUUUGAAAUGUUGAUCCUCACUAUUGAGGAUCAAAUUUUUGAAGCCAAAUCAAUAGCUGGAGAUACCCACUUGUGUACAGAAGACUUUGACAACCAAAUGGUCAACCGUUUCAUUGCUGAGUUUAAGUGAAAGCACAAUAAGGACAUCAGUGAGAACAAGAGAGCUGUCUGGCAUCUUUACACUGCCUGUGAAUAGGCCAAGUACACCCUCUCCUCCAGCACCCAAGCCAGUAUUGAGAUUGAUUCAUUCUCUCUCUCUCUCUCUCUCUCUCUCUCUCUCUCUCUCUCUCUCUCUCUCUCUCUCUCUGAGGGAAUUGUCUUCUAUAACUCCAUUACCCAGGCUUGAUUUAAGGAAUUGAAUGUUGACCUAUUCCAUGGUGCACUGGAUCCUGUAGAGAAGGUCCUUUGAGAUGCCAAACUAGAUAAGUCACAGAUUCAUGAUACUGUCACGAUACCAGAAUCCCCAAGAUUCAAAAACUUCUGCAAGACUUCUUCAAUGGAAAAAAACUGAAUAAGAGCAUUAACCCCGAUGAAGCUGUUGCCUAUAGUGCAGCUGUGCAGGCAGCCAUUCUAUCUGGACACAAGUCUAUGAAUAUUCAGGAUUUGCUGCUCUUGGAUGUCACUCCUCUUUCCCUUGGUAUUGAAACUGCUAGUGGAGUCAUGACUGUCCUCNUCAAGAGCAAUACCACCAUUCUCACCAAGCAGACACAGACUUUCAUCACCAGCCUUGUGUACUCAUUCAGGUGUAUGAAGGUGAAAGGGCCUUGACCAAGGACAACAACCUGCUUGGAAAGUUUGAGCUCACAAGUAGUAGUGGCGUGCUUGGAGUAAUGCCUGGUGGCCUCCCUGGUGGAGGAGCUCCUCCAUCUAGUGGUGCUGCUUCAGGCCACACCAUUGAAGAGAUGGAUUAA